ensembl:lncRNA
AUGGUGGCAUUUGCAUCAAUCAAGACCAUACAGUCAUCAAAAGCGAAUGACUUGGUUCCUCCUCUGGUGAAAUCAGCUGCUGAGUUCAUUGGUGGAGCAAAAAUAUGGCAGGACUUUUACUCUUUGGCCCCUGGACUUCCCACCUCUGCCAUUGAGAGACUCUCUGAACCAAAACAUAGCUGGACUGGACUGGUUUAUUUGUCUGUGUCAUGUACAUGAACCCAUGUUUCCUUUGGGUUUAGUCCAGCAGAAAGUCUAAGCUGUGGCCUCUGGGCCAGUGUUUCGUUGUGCGCUACACACAUCUAAGUUUACAGUGUUGAUUUGUUCCAAAGCUGGACAGUAGACGAGGUUGUGAUGUGUGGAGAUACAGUGAUAUGGUUUCUUUUCAGCAGUCUGACUAACUUUGGAUACUUCAGGAAAGUCUUUCUGUGAAAGCAUCCUGUAGGUUUUCUAAUAAUACGGUCUGAUAGAAACGUUUAGUCAUGUCAGGAAAAGUCAUUCACAAUAUGGUGGUGGCUCAAAGUGAUCCCUGCUUGGACCAUCCCUCAUCUAAGUACGUGAAUCAGAGGGAAAGAGGGAAUUUUACUGAUGUUGGUUAAUUCCAUGGACAAAAAUGACAUGAGGAUAUUUUUUUCUGUUUUUAUUAAUUGUUAUGAAUUGUUUCGACUUGUCUCUGUGAAAUUUAAUUUGUGUUGCUUCACAUUGUUAAUAUUAAGCGGUACAUGGGACACUCCUUCCAUAACACUGAACUUUUUUCUUCUAAAUCUUUUGCAUAAGGGCAGUAGCUGAACUUGGGGUUGUGUGAUACUGUGUUAAGUUACCAAAUAUUGUUUUUUUUUUUUAUAAAGGAUAUUAAACAGAUUGCUUAACAGAAAACAAGAAUGAAUGUUACAUUUACAAUUGCACUAAAUGAAACACUUUUAACUGAAAAACCAUUACAUUCUUUAUCUUAUUUCAAGUACACAGUGUUCUAAAACAAUAAUAGCAGUCCCUUCACCAAAACAUUAAAUAUUGAUAAUUUUAUAGAUCUACAUCAGAGUAAUUACUUUAGUAGUAAAAAUGUAUAGCUGAGACUCAUUUAAUGUAUAAAUAAUAAUAGAAUCACUUUUAUGGCGUUGUCACUUUACUCAUUUUCUCCUCGGUGUUAUCUUUAUCUUCCCAAAACCAUAGUUGCUAACCUGUUAAGAAGUCAUCUAAUUGCUUUUAAAUAAAGUCUACCAAAUUCAUAUAUAUUAUUUAUAUAUAUAUAUAUAUAUAUAUAUAUAUAUAUAUAUAUAUAUAUAUAUAUAUAUAUAUAUAUUAUGAUAAACCUGAAUUACAAGGAAACAUUCACAGAUUAUUUACUGAUUAACAUCAAUAACACAAUUACAAAUCAUUCACCAUCUUCACACUAAAUAUUCUUGCACAAUAAUAGAAGCAACUAAAGGAAACAUAGAUCAUGUGAGGGGUCUGAAGUACAAUAAAUCACACAUGGGUCUAAAAUAUCCAACAAGGAAAAAGAAACCAACAGUUAAAGAAAGUUAAUAUUUACAUCAAAAAUGAAUGAUGGCUAUAAAAUAAGACUUGUAAAAUUGCUCAUUUACAAAUAAAAGCAGAGACUGUCAUGUAACAUGUAAAGGCAUUGAUUCUGUCGUAGUGGUAUUUUACUGUAUGACAAUGGACCUUCGCUCAUUUCCUGAACCUGAUGCUGUAGUCCUCAGUGUUGUUUGCGUCCACUGCAAAGACGUGACGUGACGUGACGUGACAUUCAGCCAGAGUAUGGUGACCCAUACUCAGAAUUAGUGCUCUGCAUUUAACCCAUCCGAAGUGCACACACACAGAGCAGUGAACACACACACACACUGUAGAACACACACCCGGGAGCAGUGGGCAGCCAUUUUAUGCUGCGGCGCCCGGGGAGCAGUUGGGGGUUCGUGCCUUGCUCAAGGGCACCUAAGUCGUGGUAUUGAAGGUGGAGAGAGAACUGUACAUGCACUCACCACCCACACUUCAGCUGCCGGCCCGAGACUCGAACUCACAACCCUUCGAGUGGGAGUCCGACUCUCUAACCAUUGGA